AAGUAUAGCAGCUUAAAUUUAAAGCUCCUAUAUAGCAUAGUCAAACAUACUAGAACACACAUGUACACAAAUAUUUAAGAAGCCAUGCAACUUAUUUUCACUUAAGAGUUAAGUCUCCCCAACCAUUCUUAGCCGCAUAUCGACCAAUCUUGCACUGAAUUCACCAUCACUAAUCUUCAACAUUUUACACAAUGGAAGCUUCAACCCGUACUCCGCCAACAUUCUAUGCCUUGGCUUUAUCUUCCCCUCCAAACUGAAUGAAAAAUACUGCGGAAAUCUUUUCAAUUCCUCCAAAUCACCCUUCAUUUCCACCAAAAAGUAGUCCACUUUUGGCACUAAAUUGUUCUCUACACUAAAAGUCAAAAGCCCCGGCGACCUGACUACCAUUUCUUUAACCUCACAGUAUUCAAACCCCAAACUCAUCAAGUAUUCAAUCUUAGCCAUCAAGGUAAAUUCAAUAUUAUAUACAAGCAACACAGUUGUCUGACAAUUGAUGGCAUUGGCACCCACAAACCCAAGGUUCCGAAGAAAGAUAAGGGCAGGGCGUAAUUGGUCAGAAACACUAGAGACUAAGAGCCUAGGACACCGAGAAAUAGUUUUGGCGAUAUCUGGAAAUGGGAUACCAACCUCGUUGAGCAGGAAGUCGAAGACAGGAUAGAGAUAGACGUGCGGAUCAGAGGUGAGAAGGGCAGGGUGCAUGUCUAGGAUGCGGCCGAUGGCAAGGCGGUGGAGGCCCAUGCAGGAGAGGCAGUGCUCUACGGAGUAGAGGGUGGAGAGAGGAGUGGAGCGGAGAUUUGGGUUUUGAGUGAGCGCUUUUUGGGUAUUGAUUUUGAGGCCUGUGAGGUAUUGGAGCUUUUCAUGGAAGAGGAGGCCAGAGUCCACAGUGUCUGUGGGAAGGCAUUUGGGGGUUUUAGAGAGUUUUGGGGAAGAGAAGGAAGAGGGAGGAAGGAGGAGUAGAGUUCCUGCGGCAAUCAUGGU
rnacentral:misc_RNA from 1 species